AAUAUACUUCCUCCGUCCAACAAAAGAUGUCUCAAGUUUGUUAACAUUUGUUAAAAUUGAAUGUAUCUAGACAUGACUUGAUGUAUAGAUGUAUUUAAAUUUAUUUAAAGUUGAGACAUUCUUUGUUGGACAGAGUGAGUACAUG
rnacentral:pre_miRNA from 1 species